CAGCAGCCACGGGAAUACGGAGGAUCCAAGCGUUAUCCGGAAUCAUUGGGUUUAAAGGGUCCGUAGGCGGUCUUGUAAGUCAGUGGUGAAAGCCCAUCGCUCAACGGUGGAACGGCCAUUGAUACUGCAGGACUUGAAUUAUUGGGAAGUAACUAGAAUAUGUAGUGUAGCGGUGAAAUGCUUAGAGAUUACAUGGAAUACCAAUUGCGAAGGCAGGUUACUACCAAUUGAUUGACGCUGAUGGACGAAAGCGUGGGUAGCGAACAGGAUUAGAUACCCCAGUAGUCCCUGUCUCUUAUAU
rnacentral:rRNA from 1 species